rnacentral:misc_RNA from 1 species
UCUCCGUUGGCGAACCAGCGGAGGGAUCAUUACUGGAAUCGCAAGAUCCCACAACCCAGUGAACCUACCGAAACGUUGCCUCGGCGGGUGCCCGGCCUCUGCGCCGGGCGCUGCGCCCGCCGGCGGCCCCCUACUCUGUCUCUGCAGCGUGGCAUCUCAGAGUCCCAGAAAACAAGUCAAAACUUUCAACAACGGAUCUCUUGGCUCUA